rnacentral:snoRNA from 1 species
GGAGACCAGCUAAUUUUUAGAAAUUAUUUACACCCACACAAACAUCAUGCAGUCAGAGAAUAACUUGGGGUUAUAAUACUGGUUUAGUGUUGUCCUUUUGGACACAUCUACCACUGGCCAGCCUCCAAAUUCCCAGACACAG